UCACUUACAUGGCAGAGGAUAUACCAUGAUCACAAAGGUGGUUUUCACAGGGUGAGGCUUAUCCGUUGCACUCUGGGUGUGCUGACUCCUGUGAUUUCCCCAAAUGAGGAAAACUCAGCUGCAUAAUUUGUGGUAGUGGGGGCUGCAUUUGUGCCCUCCCAUG
rnacentral:snRNA from 1 species